UAGAUGGAUGCUUGUUGGUUGGAGCGCUUAACUGUUAAUUAAGAAUUUGUAGGAUCGAGGCCUUCCCAUCUAG
rnacentral:tRNA from 1 species